rnacentral:rRNA from 1 species
GAUGAACGCUGGCGGCGUGCCUAAUACAUGCAAGUCGAGCGAACGGACGAGAAGCUUGCUUCUCUGAUGUUAGCGGCGGACGGGUGAGUAACACGUGGAUAACCUACCUAUAAGACUGGGAUAACUUCGGGAAACCGGAGCUAAUACCGGAUAAUAUUUUGAACCGCAUGGUUCAAAAGUAAAAGACGGUCUUGCUGUCACUUAUAGAUGGAUCCGCGCUGCAUUAGCUAGUUGGUAAGGUAACGGCUUACCAAGGCAACGAUGCAUAGCCGACCUGAGAGGGUGAUCGGCCACACUGGAACUGAGACACGGUCCAGACUCCUACGGGAGGCAGCAGUAGGGAAUCUUCCGCAAUGGGCGAAAGCCUGACGGAGCAACGCCGCGUGAGUGAUCAAGGUCUUCGGAUCGUAAAACUCUGUUAUUAGGGAAGAACAUAUGUGUAAGUAACUGUGCACAUCUUGACGGUACCUAAUCAGAAAGCCACGGCUAACUACGUG